AGCAGCCGCGGUAAUUCCAGCUCCAAUAGCGUAUAUUAAAGUUGUUGCAGUUAAAAAGCUCGUAGUUGAAUUUCGGGGUUAGUAGGUUGGUCAUGCCUCUGGUAUGUACUGGUCUCACUGAUUCCUCCUUCCUGAUGAGCCGUAAUGCCAUUAAUUUGGUGUUGCGGGGAAUUUGGACUGUUACUUUGAAAAAAUUGAGUGUUUAAAGCAAGCUAACGCUUGAAUACAUUAGCAUGGAAUAAUGAAAUAGGACGUUCGAUUCUCAUUUUGUUGGUUUCUAGGAUUGACGUAAUGAUUAAUAGGGAUAGUUGGGGCAUUAGUAUUCAAUUGUCAGAGGUGAAAUUCUCGGAUUUAUUGAAGACUAACUACUGCGAAAGCAUUUGCCAAGGAUGUUUUCAUUAAUCAAGAACGAAGUUAGGGAUCGAAGACGAU
rnacentral:rRNA from 1 species